GGGGAAUAUUGCACAAUGGGGGAAACCCUGAUGCAGCCAUGCCGCGUGUGUGAAGAAGGCCUUCGGGUUGUAAAGCACUUUCAGCGAGGAGGAAAGGGGUGAUGCUAAUAUCAUCAUCCUGUGACGUUACUCGCAGAAGAAGCACCGGCUAACUCCGUGCCAGCAGCCGCGGUAAUACGGAGGGUGCAAGCGUUAAUCGGAAUAACUGGGCGUAAAGCGCACGCAGGCGGUUAGAUAAGUCAGAUGUGAAAGCCCCGGGCUCAACCUGGGAACUGCAUUUGAAACUGUCUGACUAGAGUCUUGUAGAGGGGGGUAGAAUUCCAGGUGUAGCGGUGAAAUGCGUAGAGAUCUGGAGGAAUACCGGUGGCGAAGGCGGCCCCCUGGACAGAGACUGACGCUCAGGUGCGAAAGCGUGGGGAGCAAAC
rnacentral:rRNA from 1 species